UGAGCAAGGGAGGUCAUUCGCAAUUCUGUCACUCCUAAAUUUGUCUGAACCUUUUUGGAAGGCAUUUGUAUUUCCUGCCAGCACCACCUCUUGGGGGUGAUGAAUUCCAAUAAGUUUCAAUCCGUUUAUUACUCACUGUGAGAGAAAUUGCUUCCUUUUAUGUCUGGAACUAAACCUGGAUCACAUUUCACAGGAUAUCCCCUAGUCACAGAGUUUUGGAAUCUGACCUGGAGGCAAAGGUAUGGAUGAGAUCACAUAGCAAGGAGAUUGCUGCUGAGAAGGAGUCAAAGCCUGGGUUUUACUUGUGGCCUUGCUGCUACACCAACUUUACUGACAUGCCAUUCUGGGAUAGUCUUUUCUCUCUGAGGCUUCAAGAGAAGAUGAGAAUACAUUCCAUCCCUACCUCUUGGAGUCAUUGUGAGGACUCAGAUGAAGUGCAGCAUCACGCAACAGAACUCAGAUGCCCUCACUGCAUCUCAAAUGCACUCAGCAGGCUGCCAUGCUGUGAGCUGCCCUAUGGAGAAGUCCACAUGGCAAGGAACUGAGGGAUACCUUCAGCCAACAGCCAAUGAGGAACUGAUGCUCCCAGAGAACAGCCUGUAGGAAACUAAUUCCUGCUAACAACCUUCAGAUGACUGCAGGUCUGGCUGGCAACUCAACUGAAGCCUGAGAGAGAUCCUGAAGCAGCGGGUGCAGCUAAGCCUCUGCUGGAUUCCCAUUAGACAGAAACUGCUACACCCUGCAAGGUCAUUAUCAUUAGCUGCACUUUACAGGAGAGGAAGCUGAGGCUCAGAGAAGCAAACUGCCCUCCUACUUAUGUUGAAGACUUUCCCAUCCUAUGAGCCCAGGUGGGAGAAGCUGAAAAUGGCAGAAGGUCACUUUUCCAGCUGCCCUGUGCCUGGUGAGCCUGUGACACAGACCCCGUUGCUCACAUAUCCACCCAGUUUGGUGCCAUAGGUGGUAGCACUUCAGGGCCAAGGAGUUUGAAGAAGUCCAAGGUAGAGCUUUCUGGAAAAUCCUCUGGAGAGGUUGAUCAGAAACCUUCUCCCACAUAAACAAAGGACCCAGGAAGAAGCUAAAAAUGGGCCAUGAGAUUGUCUUUAUUCAUCAAGCCUGAAGUUUUCUGACUCUAUCUUUCUUUUCCCGUGGCCACUGUUACCUCUCCAGAACAGACCCCAUCACCUGAAUUCUGCCUGAGCCUCGACAGAUAUGCUCAGCUGCUCUCCCAUGCUGGCUGUUGUUACCCCAACCCACUUAAAAUUCCUUGAGGUCUUAGAAGCUCUCUCCCACCAAGGUGCCGAAAGAAGUAUUUCACAGGUUCUCAGUGACAAUUGUUUAUUGAAAUUUACACUGAUGAGAAGUGGUCCCUAUUAAGGGAAUUCAAUCCAAGGAGAUUGGCUCUAUACUUUGAACCGCUGUGGCCAAAUAAAUAGAUGACUGCUUGCUGCAAUUAUAUUGCUGUGGUCUUUGUAUAAAUAGAUUACCAAGAAUAGGACUCCACACAUCUAUCACCUUGGAAAGCUGAUUUGUAUAAUCUGGACAGGUGGCAAGGAAACGUAACUGUCUGCUCAAGGGAGAGCCUGCCUGGGGCAGAGGAAGAGAGUCUGAGUAGCAUCCCAGUUAAGUGCUCAAGCCCUGAGGUCAGGCUGCCUGCAUUUGAAUCCUGAUUCUGCCACCAAUUUUCUAAGUGGCAUGGCAAUGUUCUUAAACUUCCCUUUGUGUCAUAGUAAGCAACCGAAAAAUGGUGCUGAGGAUAGAGAACUCCAAAAAUAGAAAUUAUUGCUAGAAGGUUCCCUUGCAGUGGAUAUCGGGGAUUCAAUCUGUUAGUAUCCAGAAACUAGUUUUUCUGUUACUUUUGUGAAACCACUCAAGAUCUCUGUUUAACAAGCCUCCCAAAGAUCUUUUUUCAAUAUGUUUAUAUGUCUUGGGGAUUACAGCACUUGUGGGUUUCAGCAGAACUCUUUUUGCAGAGGUCUGGUGGUGUAGGAAAAGGGCUGUAGACUAGGAUCUGGGAGACAGACAUGUCUAUGUUGAGACCUGCCUCUGGAGCACUGGCCACCCUCUCCAAGCUGCUGCAGUUCUCUGAGAUCCAACUGUCUCCCCUGUUACAUAAUCACCACAGUUAAAAUAUCAAAGUUUAUAUCAACCCCAAAAGUUACCUCCUGCUUCUUUGUAAUCUUUGCCUCCAUCCACCCUUAUUCCUAGGCAACCACUGAUCUGUUUUAUGUCAAUACAGAUCAUUUUGCAUUCUCUCUAAUUUCAUAUACAUUGCAUCAUACUUUAUGCACUCUUUUAUCUGGAUACUUUCACUUAACAUAAUUAUUUUCACAUGCAUUCAUGUUGUUGUGUGCAACAACAGUUUAUUAGUUUUCAUUGCUGAAUAGUAUUCCAUUGUGUGGAUAUACCACAUUUGUUUAGCCACUCAUCUGUGAAUAGACAUUCGGGUUGUUUCCAGUUACUUGGUUAUUUCAA
rnacentral:lncRNA from 1 species